rnacentral:rRNA from 1 species
CGCGAACGCUGGCGGCAGGCCUAACACAUGCAAGUCGAACGGACCCUUCGGGAUGAGUGGCGGACGGGUGAGUAACACGUGGGAACGUGCCCUUCUGUUCGGAACCACUAAGGGGAACUUUAGCUACUACCGGCUGUGACCUUAGGGGGACAGAUUUAUCGCCAUUUGAGCGGCCCGCGUCUGAUUAGCUAGUUGGGGAGGUAACGGCUCACCAUGGAGCAGAUCAGUAGCUGGUCUGAGAGGAUGAUCAGCCACAUUGGGACUGAGACACGGCCCAAACUCCUGCGGGAGGCAGCAAUGGGGAAUCUUGCGCAAUUGGCGAAAGCCUGACGCAGCCAUGCCGCGUGAAUGAUGAAGGUCUUAGGAUUGUAAAAUUCUUUCACCGGGGACGAUAAUGACGGUACCCGGAGAAGAAGCCCCGGCUAACUUCGUGCCAGCAGCCGCCGUAAGAC